rnacentral:rRNA from 1 species
CCUACGGGAGGCAGCAGUGGGGGAUAUUGCACACUGGGGGGAACCCUGAUGCAGCGACGCCGCGUGGGUGAAGAAGCGCCUCGGCGCGUAAAGCCCUGUCAGCAGGGAAGAAAAUGACGGUACCUGAAGAAGAAGCCCCGGCGAACUACGUGCCAGCAGCCGCGGUAAUACGAAGGGGGCAAGCGUUAUCCGGAUUUCCUGGGUGUAAAGGGGGCGCAGACGGCGAUGCAAGCCAGGAGUGAAAGCCCGGGGCCCAACCCCGGGACUGCUCUUGGAACUGCGUGGCUGGAGUGCAGGCGGGUCAGGCGGAUUUCCUGUUGUAGCGGUGCAAUGCGUCGAUAUCAGGAGGAACACCGGUGGCGCAGGCGGCCUGCUGGACUGCACCUGCCGUUGCGGCCCGACAGCGUGGGGAGCAAACAGGCUUAGCUCCCCGGGUAGUC